rnacentral:rRNA from 1 species
GUCGAGCGGAAAGGCCCCUUCGGGGGUACUCGAGCGGCGAACGGGUGAGUAACACGUGAGUAACCUGCCCUUGACUUCGGGAUAAGCCUGGGAAACUGGGUCUAAUACCGGAUACGACCAUUCUGGGCAUCUGUGGUGGUGGAAAGUUUUUCGGUUGGGGAUGGGCUCGCGGCCUAUCAGCUUGUUGGUGGGGUGAUGGCCUACCAAGGCUUCGACGGGUAACCGGCCUGAGAGGGCGACCGGUCACACUGGGACUGAGACACGGCCCAGACUCCUACGGGAGGCAGCAGUGGGGAAUAUUGCGCAAUGGGCGGAAGCCUGACGCAGCGACGCCGCGUGGGGGAUGACGGCCUUCGGGUUGUAAACCUCUUUCAGCAGGGACGAAGCGUAAGUGACGGUACCUGUAGAAGAAGCGCCGGCUAACUACGUGCCAGCAGCG